GACGAACGCUGGCGGCGUGCUUAACACAUGCAAGUCGAACGAUGGAGCCGGAGCUUGCUCUGGUGAAUUAGUGGCGAACGGGUGAGUAACACGUGAGUAACCUGCCCUUGACUCUGGGAUAACUGCGGGAAACUGUAGCUAAUACCGGAUACGACCCUCGGAGGCAUCUCCUGGGGGUGGAAAGAAUUUCGGUCAAGGAUGGACUCGCGGCCUAUCAGCUAGUUGGUGAGGUAAAGGCUCACCAAGGCGACGACGGGUAGCCGGCCUGAGAGGGUGACCGGCCACACUGGGACUGCGACACGGCCCAGACUCCUACGGGAGGCAGCAGUGGGGAAUAUUGCACAAUGGGCGCAAGCCUGAUGCAGCAACGCCGCGUGAGGGAUGACGGCCUUCGGGUUGUAAACCUCUUUUAGUAGGGAAGAAGCGAAAGUGACGGUACCUGCAGAAAAAGCACCGGCCAACUACGUGCCAGCAGCCGCAGUAA
rnacentral:rRNA from 1 species